rnacentral:rRNA from 1 species
AAUCGUACGUAGAGUGUAAAGGCAAAAGAGAGCUUGAUUGCAAGACAUACAGGUCGAGCAAGGAUGAAAAUCGGACUUAGUGAUCCGGUGGUUCUGCGUGGAAGGGCCAUCGCUCAACGGAUAAAAGCUACCCUGGGGAUAACAGGCUUAUCUCCCCCAAGAGUCCACAUCGACGGGGAGGUUUGGCACCUCGAUGUCGGCUCAUCACAUCCUGGGGCUGUAGUAGGUCCCAAGGGUUGGGCUGUUCGCCCAUUAAAGUGGUACGCGAGCUGGGUUCAGAACGUCGUGAGACAGUUCGGUCCCUAUCCGUCGCAGGCGUAGGAAAUUUGAGAAGACCUGUCCUUAGUACGAGAGGACCGGGAUGGACGUACCUCUGGUGUACCAGUUGUUCUGCCAAGGGCAUGGCUGGGUAGCUAUGUACGGAAUGGAUAAGCGCUGAAAGCAUCUAAGCGCGAAGCCAACUUCAAGAUAAGAUUUCCCACCG